rnacentral:miRNA from 1 species
CUGUGCGGGUGCCAGGAGGUGGCUGUGGUGCAUUGUAGUUGCAUUGCAUGGUCCUUAAAGCCGAGUGCAAUGUGUCUGCAGUGCAGUACAGAGGCCUCCCCAAUCUGCA